rnacentral:lncRNA from 1 species
UAAAAUAAAACAAUUAAAAUUAAACAAGUAUAAUAAAAUUAAAAGUUGUUAAGCCAUCGAAAAAUAAAUGCACGAGAUUCAAUUUACAUACACAAAAAAAAAAAAAAACUUUUCAACGAAUCACACGAGACAGAAAUCCUUUAAAAUGAAGCAUCGUCGAAUCUAUUUAAACCAGAUAUUCGAAUAUUCGUAAGAUUUGGUAAACGUGUAGUCGCGCAUUUGCUAUACUUGGACCGUCAUAUAAAUGGAACACACUUUUCAAUCUCUAUCCUUUUCAUAUCUCGCGUGCGAAAAGGCCGAAGAGAGCUCGUGUCAGGAGCAGCGGAUAUUUCAUCUUUGUGGCGCGCAUAAAUGAAUUUUUCAUGUAUAUUUCGCGGAUUCCUUCUUCCAACACGAAUCUGUCGUUAAACGUUAAAUACCGAUAACUUUUCAAACACCUUUCGAGAGAUAUGGCUAUCAUUGCGCGAAAUUGUCGUCCUUUCGAAGAUUACAUCGUCGAAGAUCAGAGAUGUAGAAAUAGCAAAAAAUGAAAUAUUUAAAAAUUAAAAUUUGUAAUUUCUUAUAAGAGUUGAAGUUACACGAAAGAAUAACAAUGAAAUAUUUCUAAGAAUAUUUCUUGAUUACACAAUCGUGGCAAAACGCACGUGCCAAACGUAUAUAACAGAAUGGAAAAAAUUUUCACAAGACGAAACGUGGAAGUAUUUCUUGGUUUCCUCGGAAGAUGCUUGUGUAGCUUUCUUUGUUUAGUCUUGAAUUCGUUUUAUUCGCCGAGAGAGAGAGAGAGAGAGAAAGAGAGAUAGGUCUACUGGAGAUGUUGAUUUUUGAACGAUUUGUCAAAGAAACGAAAAGAAAGAAAAAACUUAUGCGUAAAUAUCGAAGAUUCGAAAAGCGAGGAAACGAGGAGAACGAAGGAAAGUAGCUGGGAUUAUACGCGAGUCGAUUGGAAUCGGAAAAAUUCUUGUGAAAAUAGGAUUUAAAGUGUGUGUCUCUCGCUUCGUUAAUAAUCGCAACAAAGCGGAUGAUAUUUAAUCAAGAUGUUUGGCAUUCGCCUCAUUUGAUAAACAAACUGAAAUAAAGGGGGGAAAAAAUGAGAAUUAUCGUCGAUACAAGAUCGGGAAUAUUGAAUGUAAACGAAGCAUAAAUCAUAUUAAUUUUAUUCGUGUAUAAUUUCCUGUGCAUCGUUACACAAUAUACGCCCCAAAACGCUACAAGGCGUUUAAAUGUGUUUCCCGUCCAGGGAUAAAACAUCCAGCUUCUACAUUUCGCGUUUACAUCGGUAAAUUUCAAAUUUUCAAGCAUAAUUUCACGCUCGUUGUCCGAGAGAAUUGUUUCCUCAUCAAUACGACGCAUAAUUAUUAAGAAUAAUAAAGCGCAAAUAAUUGCUUUUAACGGCUUGUAACUUUCGCAUCGAAUGAAUUAAUACGUAUUUGAUAUUCGCGCGCAAUCUAUAAAGAAGAUUCUGGUUCGAUACUUAAUCGAUAAUUGUGUUGUUUCAGCAUAACGCAUAACCGUACAUAGAACAUAUCUUAUCUAAUAUCAAAUUGAAAUUCGUUACGUCGAUUAAUUUAUCUUCUACACAAUCUUAUUUUCGUUUGCGCCGUUAUAAAUAUAAAUAAAAAAAUAUAAAUUAAUCAUUUCUUCGAUUAAUAAGAAUAAGAAGAUACGAAAGGAGAAUUUCUAUGAAUAAAAUUUUUUAUCGAUAAAAUUUCUGGAUCAAAGGUGGAUCGAUGCAUAUUUUUCAGGACAAAACUGAUAGUAACAUUGCGCGCAUUUUAAUUAGGAAGAGAAAAAUGUUCGAAUCGUGGAAAAUGAUUGAACCAGUUGCGACGAUUUAACGAAGCUCGCAAGUCCUUUAUAUUUUUUAAUUAAAUCCAGGGCUCAAAAGCGGAUCUUGCAAUCGCUUUCUAUAUAUUCGAGUUAAUCGGCACGGGAGAAAAUUUGAUCUGAAAUUCGCGUGAAAUUUAUAUGUAAUAUAAUAUUCGUAUUAUCCCCUGUUAUAAUAUAAAAUAAAUCGGUUCUAUCUUAAAGCAAUGAACUCUCUCUUAAUGAUGCUCAUAGCAAUAUUUAUACGUUUAGAUGGAUUCUAUAAUCAAUAUGGAAAUAUGACAAGCUGAUUGUAAUGAUAUAAUUUUAUAAAAUUAUAGAAUUUAUAUUGAAUAUCUAUUUUAGAAAUUUAUUCAAAUUUGAUGAUAACUCAUCAAGAAUUAAAUUAUUGAAUGAAUACUUCUUCUUUUAACCUCUUAGUUAAAAUACUUACUUAGAUUUAAUUUAAAUUCUUUUUUAUAUAAACUCUUCGUUACCGAAGCUCUUCUAACAGAUAGAAUUAUUUACUGAAAUUAUGAAUUAAAAAAAUGAAAAAAACAAAAAAGAAAUCUCUCCACUGUUAAAACGAUAUAUCAAAUAAUCAAAAAUUCGAGAACGCAUUAAGAAAAAAAUUUCAGUACCAUAAAUUACCCAAGAAGUAAAAAACGAAACGUUGCCUUAAUAAGUUUGCUCUUAAUAGCUCUUUAAUUAAUCAAACGCGAGCACGAAAAGUCGCGUCCACGUGGCCACGUGGAAUAUCCUCUGAAAAUUCACGCCCACGAAACACAGCCGCAAAAAAGAGGAUCGAGGCACCGCGCAUUACUACGCUUCUUUCUCCGUGUUCCGUUUCCUGUGGGCGCAGAUUUACGCGUGGCGGAACAACAUGCGCAAGUUUUCGAGCUUGGUUUAUCCUUGUCACAAAGCCGACCUCACCGGUAUCGCAGGAUAAAUAAUUCGCGAGAAUUAUAAAAGAUUAAGGUUUUCAGACGCGAUCCGUUAGAGCGAUAAACACCGGGCGACGUACGCGUUCAAAAUAAGAAAAGAAGAGGAAAAAAAAAAAAAAAAAAAGUGUGUGUACGCGUGUCCACAUAUUUCACGAAAAUGUGACGAGAGAAGUCUUAGCUUAGUCGCUAUCUCGCGCGAGAUUCCCUUCCUUUUGUGCCCGAACUUUAGACGAGUUUUAAUAUCGCGACUCGUGGGAAAGGCUAGCCUUUUUUUUUUUUUUUUUCUUUUGCUUUCACACUCGGCAUUACGACUCUUUUCGCGUGACGCUACAGGAAAAAUUACUCCUCCAUUUCGUCUUAUCGCGAGAGGAUGCUUUGCUGGAGCUGUUAAGUCUUCGCGAAGCUGCACGACGAUUAUAUUCUUUAUAAUUCGCUGUAUUUUCUACGACGAUUUUCAGAGGAAAUUAAUUCUGAUGC